CGAAAGUCCAAAUCUGACAAAUAGUAAACACGUGCUGACGUUACGCGCGCAGAUAGGUUUCUGAUUGGUGGAUGGACGCGUCGCUCAAAAUGUACGGCCUGUGAUUGGAUGAAGUGUGAAGCAACGUUUUCUUUAAAAGACCUGGUUGACCGUCUGGGGACUUGGGUGGCGGGACUCUGGGAGGAACCAGACCUCUGGGAUUUGCCCCUCCUUGUGCGGAUUCUCAGAUGAACCCCCGAAAAGAAAGAAGAAUGCUGUCUGAGGAAAUGUGAUGGCAGCAUGAUAAAAGAGGUCUUCCAGGACUUGCUGCAGAGUGGGAUGACGCGGCCAUCACCAUGCUUCAUGUUGAGGACGGGGUCUUUCUGAUGAUAAUUUGUUCUCAAGAAACAAAGAACCUUUCAGUUUGCUUCAGUGUCUGAACAACAGCAGCCCAGAUGUUACACGACUUUUUGUCGUGACAAAAGUUUGUUUUUGACAGUGGUUAUUAGUUCGCCAUGGUGUAACAUGUAAAGCAGCCAGAUGAUCAAAACCAUAAAACCCUUGAGCAACAGUGUCCACAGGCCUCUUUAUUAUAUAUAUUAAUUAUCCAUGUGAUGUUUCAUAUCCACCCUUAAUGUACAUCAGUUAAGAUUUGCUUGAAUUUAUUAGUUUUUUUUUUGUUGUUUUUUAAAUCAGUGAAAAGUUCCUCCCCUUAAAGGCUGAUACCUUCAUCAUCUCCAAGGGGCUCCACAAACAGAAACCAUGUCGCUGUAAAUACAAAGCUGAGUGAGUGAAGUUCCUGAGAUUCAUAUCAAAAGUAGAAUCAGAAAAUAACAAGAACAGUGUCCUGAGUGGCAGACGUUGGAAGACAGUCAGCGUACAAAGGAAGUCUGAAGACUCUCCGUCAUCCAGGUCAUGGCAUCUCUUCGAGCGCACGAGGAAAUGAGCACGAGGAAGCAUCAUUUAGCAAAGACCUAUUCACAGCUAAAAUUGUUGAAGUCUAGAUAAGGCAAAGCUCUACUAAAUGCUACAAAUGACAGUAACAGCUGGACUUCGCUGACGCUUCUACACAAAAUUAGGAUUGCUUAAAAUAGCUUCAGACAAAUUUAUCACUGUAGUUCAUGAAAUGGUUUUUGUUACGUUGCAAGAAGUCAUUGUGAAUAACUUAAAUUACAGGAAUGCAAUAUAUAUUUCAUGCUGAAAUGAUAUUGACGGUUCAAAAGGUUUCACUUGGCAUUUUUUUGAUACAUUUUCUGGGCGUUUAUUAAAAAGUAAAAAACUGUUUUGAAAAAAUGUA